UUAUAUUAUUAUUAUUAUUAUAUUAUUAUAUUAUCUUUUAAUGUUAUUUUAAUAUUGACUUGGAAAUACUUGAUAUACCGAUCUUACAAUUGUAUGACAUGAUGUGAUAUGUGCUAUUAGAGUUUUUGGUUUGAACAGGAUAAAGGUUAUACAAACGCGACUUCCAUAUUUUUAUCAUAUUAAUAUUUUCCAAAAAAUUCACAUAUUAUCUCGCGUCAUAUUAAAUUAAUAUGGCUAUUCGUUUGCACAUUAACAAAGAAGAUUUAGCCAAGCAGGAGGAGUCUGAGUUACAUCUUAUGCCAUGUAAAAUUCACGGCGAUGAAGGCGCGAAUGUUUCCUCCUAUUUCAAGCCUUACAUUUGUAAGAUUAACGAAGAACAUUACGAUUGUUCGUUCCGUGGCUAUCCACUUCAAGGGAAGAAAGUAAUUGUACCUGCUGGAUACAAAGGCAUGACGUUUACAGAAAAUAAGAAGGCAGACGCUGAAAAUAAGAUCCGUAAUUUAUAUUGCACAGGAACGUUUUCACGAUUCACAUAUUGGAAUUACGAUAAAAUACCGUCUAAGAACGAUGCUCUUGUAGCAGCGUUGGAUUGGAUUGACAUAGCUGAAGCGUUACAUUCAUCAGAAACAUAGUUGUAAUACCAAAAGAGAAAAUACAAUUAUUUAAAAUUUAAAUGGAAAAUAUAAAAAAAGUAUCGUCUUGUUCGUGAUAAUAUAUUUUUAUACUUUGAUAGAAAAAAAAGAUAAUAAAGAUAAAUUCUUUUCUCUGUAUCUAAUAUAUACUUUUUACAGCAUCAUAAUUGCAUGAUCAUGCCACAAAUAAUGAGCAUAUGAUGUAGGCAUAAGAAUCCAUGACUGUAAAAUGCAUGAAGAAAGUGUAAAGAGAGAUAGUGGUGGUAUCAAUAUAAUCUAAUUAACAGCAAUGUUUAAAGAAACGGAAUUUCCUAUUUAGACAUUUGUGGACUUCUUUUUUUUUUAAAUAUAGUAAUACGAUAUGUGUGAAUGCAUUCUGCAGAUCUUUUUAAUAAUACUGAGGUAUAUGAGAUUUGUACAACUAAUUCAGAACUUUGUGUGUGAAUACCAUCAUAAAUUACAAAAAUUCUUACAUUCGUUCGUUCUCUUACAUUCUAAAUUAUAGUAAGUUUCUGUCUCGAUAUAACGCGAAAUAAUAAAUAAGAUAAAAUAUU